GUGCAUAGAUAUAUUAUACUCUAGAUUGCGCCUUACGAUCUUAAAAUGGGUGACGGUUGCGACAGAGAUAAAUGAGCCUAUUUGGUCGGUAGUCUCUUUCUAAUUCAAGGGGAGUAUCGACGACGUCACUAUCCUACUCUAUCGACGAGUAUUUUAGAUGAUUUGACAGUUCGAGCGGAUGGCAACGAGAACUGGUCGUUUGUCUUCGGACGUGGAUAAUCCUGGUUCGAAUCCCAUACCAAUCUUUGCUUUUUUUAUUUUUUAUUUAAUCAAUAUUGCGUUUAUUAGAUAUUAUUAUAUCUCUAAAAUAAAUCUAAGCAAAGAAAUAUAUAACAAAUAAGAAAAACUGUGUAGGUACCUAUAGAUUUUUAAAAAUAUAAAAGCCAGUUAUUUUUUUAAUAAGUUAAUGGUACAAUAGUAUAAAGUAAUUGUUAAAAAUAUUCGUACAAAUUACCAAUAAUUAAUAUCAACAUAAUGUACCAUGAUCGAUUUAUUAAUUGAAUCGGUCAUUUCAAAAACAACACGAGACACGAGUCACAUAUUCCUAAUUUUACAGAAGAGCAAAGAAAACUACCUAUAUAGUCGAAAGAUGGAUGAAAUGGAUGACAUCAAAAUUCAGAGUUAUAUUGUAGUUUUGUUCCUAAUGUUUUUACUGGACUGGUGUCGUUUUUGCACACAACGUUUAUCUUAAAGGAGUCUGUUCCUCUCAAAAAGCUAGUUUCUGAAAAUUGUGGACUUUGCUGUUUUUGAAAUGACCGAUUCAAUUAUAAGUAAUUAGAUAUUAUUUUUAUUUAUGAAACUAUUAUUACAAUUUUUUAAAAAGGUAGAAGCAAUACAAACCUUAUUCACGUCAUUCGAAUAAGGCCGAAUUUAUAUUAAUAACGAAUGACUUAUUUUACAAAUAAUUAUGUAUUCCAAUAUUAACUUACUAUACAUACAUUUAUUAUCUGCUAGAUUUACUUAGGUCCAUUUUUCAGAUGUAAAAAUAUCUAAUAAACGCAAUAUUGAUUAAAUUAAAAAUAAAAAAGGUAAAGUUGGUAUGGGAUUCGAACCACGAUUAUCCAUGUCCGAAGUCCAAAGACCAUUUCUCGUCACCACCCGCUCGAACUGUCAAUACAUAAUACUCGAUAAAGUGGGAUAGUCACGUCGUCGAUAUUCCCCUUAAAUUAAAAAGAGACUACCGACCAAAUAGGCUCAUUUAUCUCUGUCGCAACCGUCACCCAUUUUAAGAUCGUAAGGCGCAAUCUAGAGUAUUAUAAAUCUAUGGGCAAUACAAACCACGUGACCUCUGGUUGCCACACAAACUAAAGAAGAGGUUAUGUUUGUGUCUAUUUUUCAAUGAUUUUUCAUUGUUUAUCGUCGUAUUUUGGAUUCAUUUGGAUUUCGUUUCCUGUUUUUGUGAACUUUAUAAACUUUACCACAAUGCGAACUGAUUAUUUAAGGAAAUUAUUAUUGGAAACUCCAGAUGUUGGGAGAAAGGUAGGCGAAACAAUGUUUAUUUACUGUUCAUUUUGCCCCGAUAUUUAUCAAUAAUGAUGAAUUUUGCAAGCAAUAACAUUAUUUCUUUUAUUGUUUUAGAUAUUUAUUGAAGCUGAAAAUAAUUGGGGAUUUAGAUCCAUACGGAAUUGAGUCAGAAUUGGAUUUUACAGUAAAGUGCAGUCCAUCAAGUUACUAUUAUAGAUAUGUAUUUAUACAGAUCUGGUGGAGUCUCACAGUUGCUACUCUAAGCAGCAGAUGAAAGCAUACAAAAGCCUUCAGGCACAUAAAUAUUUUACAGCUGGAUUUGUUUUGAAUGGAGUAAAAAUUGUUAAUGAUUUCCUGAUUUCCAUAUUAUUGUUGGAAAGGUGAAGCAUUUCCAAAAAGCUAAUGCUAAACGACUAAAUGCUUGGGUGGGGUGAUAGCCAGUUCUGAUGACAUAGCAAAUGCACAUUGUAUGCGUAUGGCCGGUAAUAGUGAAGUCUGCAGCCAUAUUGCAGCAAUAUAUAUUGCUGACCUGUAAAAGUACAUUUGUACAUUAUUACCAAUAAAUACUCUACUCUACUCUACUCUACUCUAAUCCUAUUUUUAGCUGAGUAUGCCCAGAGCAAGACAGACGAAGAAGAACCCAAUGCAUGUACAUAUGUUACAGCUACAUGGUUUGGAGAUAGCAACAUAUGCAUUCUCUGAUGAAAAACUAAUGAGUUUUGAAACUGUUCGGUCAGAGUGCUUGUUGCGCUCACUAAACGAACUGAAAUAUAAGAAGUCUUUGGCAUUGUGUUGCAGCGAUAUGAAAAUGGUUAUUCAUUUUUAAUUAUAAUGUACUUCUUCAUCAUGAGUAAUUAUGUAUUGGUCUUUUAGAUGUGUAUUUAUUUUUGUAAUUAGUAUCAACUUGUAAUGAUAAUAUACAUUUAUCGUUUAAGGUACGACUAUGUUUUGACUCUAAAAUAAAUGUUUUAAAAAUCGAA